rnacentral:lncRNA from 1 species
UUGGAUCAGUCAAAAGAUAAGCAAUAAGAAGCUGGUCUUCAAAGUGAAAAUCACCACAAACACGUCAGCAUAAAGACCAGUUUCUUUUUGCUUGCUUUGCAGAGACAAGAUCCUGGCAAGAUUCAGAUCUGACCAAAGAUGGAUUCAGAAUUCAGAUGCAUGGAUAGAAGAAAACAAAAAUAAAAAAGGUCAUGUUCAACCUCAGUACCCAGCUGUUGAUUUGAGCAGGUAAAGUCUCCUAUCACCCAGAGGUGCUGAAAUGGCAGGUGUAGAAGGUCACCACCAAACUCUAUUUACACCCUGGGUACAGAGCAACGGGGGGGUCACCAUAUGGGGUUGCUACGGUUUCAGAGGUCCUCUUAGUUUCUCAGCUUUCUAAGCUAACAGCAGAUUGAUGCGGGCACCGCAUGAUCCGCCAUGCUGGUUAAAUGUUCAUGUCCCAAGCAAAAAAGAUCCAGCCUGAUCACCCUCCAGCAGUUAUCAUCCAGUAGAGUUGUUUUACCGUACAGACAUCGGUGGGCAAAGAAUCCCUAGGUAGUGCGAGAAGCUGAGCUAGCCCACCCUAGGUAGUGCGAGAAGCUGAGCUAGGCCACUCCAGAUCCCUGUACUUCAGGACAUCAACCUUGUCCAAGUCGUACGUCUGGCAUAUCCUUGAAAUAGUGUCGCAAUCCAGACCCU